rnacentral:rRNA from 1 species
GACGAACGCUGGCGGCGUGCUUAACACAUGCAAGUCGAACGGAAAGGCCCUGCUUUUGUGGGGUGCUCGAGUGGCGAACGGGUGAGUAACACGUGAGUAACCUGCCCUUGACUUUGGGAUAACUUCAGGAAACUGGGGCUAAUACCGGAUAGGAGCUCCUGCUGCAUGGUGGGGGUUGGAAAGUUUCGGCGGUUGGGGAUGGACUCGCGGCUUAUCAGCUUGUUGGUGGGGUAGUGGCUUACCAAGGCUUUGACGGGUAGCCGGCCUGAGAGGGUGACCGGCCACAUUGGGACUGAGAUACGGCCCAGACUCCUACGGGAGGCAGCAGUGGGGAAUAUUGCACAAUGGGCGGAAGCCUGAUGCAGCAACGCCGCGUGCGGGAUGACGGCCUUCGGGUUGUAAACCGCUUUCGCCUGUGACGAAGCGUGAGUGACGGUAAUGGGUAAAGAAGCACCGGCUAACUACGUGCCAGCAGCCGCGGUGAUACGUAGGGUGCGAGCGUUGUCCGGAUUUAUUGGGCGUAAAGGGCUCGUAGGUGGUUGAUCGCGUCGGAAGUGUAAUCUUGGGGCUUAACCCUGAGCGUGCUUUCGAUACGGGUUGACUUGAGGAAGGUAGGGGAGAAUGGAAUUCCUGGUGGAGCGGUGGAAUGCGCAGAUAUCAGGAGGAACACCAGUGGCGAAGGCGGUUCUCUGGGCCUUUCCUGACGCUGAGGAGCGAAAGCGUGGGGAGCGAACAGGCUUAGAUACCCUGGUAGUCCACGCUGUAAACGGUGGGUACUAGGUGUGGGGUCCAUUCCACGGGUUCCGUGCCGUAGCUAACGCUUUAAGUACCCCGCCUGGGGAGUACGGCCGCAAGGCUAAAACUCAAAGGAAUUGAUGGGGCCCCGCACAAGCGGCGGAGCAUGCGGAUUAAUUCGAUGCAACGCGUAGAACCUUACCUGGGUUUGACAUGGAUCGGGAGUGCUCAGAGAUGGGUGUGCCUCUUUUGGGGUCGGUUCACAGGUGGUGCAUGGCUGUCGUCAGCUCGUGUCGUGAGAUGUUGGGUUAAGUUCCGCAACGAGCGCAACCCUUGUUCACUGUUGCCAGCACGUUAUGGUGGGGACUCAGUGGAGACCGCCGGGGUCAACUCGGAGGAAGGUGGGGAUGACGUCAAGUCAUCAUGCCCCUUAUGUCCAGGGCUUCACGCAUGCUACAAUGGCUGGUACAGAGAGUGGCGAGCCUGUGAGGGUGAGCGAAUCUCGGAAAGCCGGUCUCAGUUCGGAUUGGGGUCUGCAACUCGACCUCAUGAAGUCGGAGUCGCUAGUAAUCGCAGAUCAGCAACGCUGCGGUGAAUACGUUCCCGGGGCU